UUUCUAGGACCGCCGUAAUGAUUAAUAGGGAUAGUCGGGGCCGUCCGUAUUCAAUUGUCAGAGGUGAAAUUCUUGGAUUUAUUGAAGACGAACUACUGCGAAAGCAUUCGGCAAGGAUGUUUUCAUUAAUCAGUGAACGAAAGUUAGGGGAUCGAAGACGAUCAGAUACCGUCGUAGUCUUAACCAUAAACUAUGCCGACUAGGGAUCGGAGGGGGUCUGCUAGAGCCCCCUUCGGCACCUUACGAGAAAUCAAAGUUUUUGGGUUCUGGGGGGAGUAUGGUCGCAAGGCUGAAACUUAAAGAAAUUGACGGAAGGGCACCACCAGGAGUGGAGCCUGCGGCUUAAUUUGACUCAACACGGGGAAACUCACCGGGUCCGGACACGAUAAGGAUUGACAGAUUGAGAGCUCUUUCUUGAUUUCGUGGGUGGUGGUGCAUGGCCGUUUUUAGUUCGUGGAGUGAUUUGUCUGCUUAAUUGCGAUAACGAACGAGACCUUUUCCUGCUGAAUAGCCCGACCAGCUCCGGCUGGCCGCUGGCUUCUCAGAGGGACUAUCGGCUCAAAGCCGUUGGAAGUGAGGCAAAAACAGGUCUGUGAUGCCCUUAGAUGUCCCGGGCAGCACGCGCGCUACACUGACGGAGCCAGCGAGUAUCCUCCUUUGCCGAAAGGCCUGGGUAAUCUUGUUAAACUCCGUCGUGCUGGGGAUAGAGCAUUGCAAUUAUUGCUCUUCAACGAGGAAUGCCUAGUAAGCGCGUGUCAUCAGCACGCGUUGAUUACGUCCCUGCCCUUUGUACACACCGCCCGUCGCUACUACCGAUUGAAUGGCUUAGUGAGGCCUUCGGACUGGCCGAGGGAGGUCGGCAACGACCACCCAUGGCCGGAAAGUUGGUCAAACUUGGUCAUUUAGA
rnacentral:rRNA from 1 species